UUUAUGAUUUUUUUUUUUGAAACAAGGUCUCACUUUGUAGCCCAGGCUGGCCUUGUACUCACAGCGAUGCUCCUGCCUCAGCUUCCCAAGUUCUGGGACCACAGGCAUGUGACACCACGCCUGGAUGUGAUUUGUCUCUUCUGUCUGUCCAGUCUGCUGUAAUUUCACCAGUAAAUUUUCACUUGAGGUACUGUGUUUGUCAUAUGUAGGUGUUCAGUUUUCUUUACAUUUUCCAUUUCUCUGUUUCACAUGCUCAGCCCUCCCUUUAGGUUCUAAACAUAUCAGUUAUAGUUAUAAUGACUGUGCUGAUGUCUUUGUCUGCUAGUUCUGUUUUGUCUAAUUCAGGGUGUCCUUUCUGGUUGUUCCUGUUAAUCGCAUUUUCUCGUUCUCGGUUGUAUUUUCCUGCACGCUUACAUGCCUAGCAGCUUUUCUUCUGGAUGCUGGACUCCGUGAGUUUCCCCUUCUUAAGCUGGAUAUUUUUCUGUCCCCACAAAUAUCUCCUUUCGCUUUAUUCUGGGAAGCAGUUACAUUACUUGGAAACACGUGAGUCUUGCAACGCUCUGCCAAAGCCUCGUUAGGCAGGAUGAGUGUGGGCAAAGUCCUUUCGAGAAGUUACCUGUGCCCUGCGAAUGACACCGCUCUUCACUCAAGAAUCCAGCACUGUGGACACUCCAGCCGGCAAGCCACACGCUCUCCUCUGUCUCAGGAACCACUGUGCUCUGAUCUUAGUGUGCAGGGUCCGAAGCCACUGAAGAAGGGAUGGAGAGGUCGAGGGGGCGGAAUCCACUCGUCAGACUCCCGGAGAUCAGGAAAGAAGCCGCAGGGUGAAAAUGAUGCUAGAAUUAACUCUACCAGAAGACUCUGGGGUAUGGAAUUAGCCCCUACCCAAGGACUCCUCUGCCCUGCCAACUUCUGUAACCCAUGA
rnacentral:lncRNA from 1 species